AAUCCAUGAUGAAAGAAUUCUCUGUGGUAAUCAUUAAAACGCUCCCAUGCGUCGUAAAAAUUCUCAUCAGUUAGCUGUCUGAAAGAGGUGAUCUUGUUCCUCAAUGC